CCUACGGGUGACAGCAGUGGGGAAUAUUGCACAAUGGGGGAAACCCUGAUGCAGCAACGCCGCGUGAGUGAGGAAGUAUUUCGGUAUGUAAAGCUCUAUCAGCAGGGAAUAGAAAAGAAGGUACCUGAAAAAGAAGCCCCGGCUAACUACGUGCCAGCAGCCGCGGUAAUACGUAGGGGGCAAGCGUUAUCCGGAUUUACUGGGUGUAAAGGGAGCGUAGACGGCGAUGCAAGCCAGAUGUGAAAGCCCGCGGCUCAACUUCGGUAGUGCAUUUGGAACUGUAUGGCUGGAGUGCAGGAGAGGCAGGCGGAAUUCCUAGUGUAGCGGUGAAAUGCGUAGAUAUUAGGAGGAACACCAGUGGCGAAGGCGGCCUGCUGGACUGUAACUGACGUUGAGGCUCGAAAGCGUGGGGAGCAAACAGGAUUAGAUACCCUUGUAGUC
rnacentral:rRNA from 1 species